CUGAGCAGAGGAUAAUGGGUCAGUAGUGUUUGUCUAGUCCUACUUUAUUUAGACUGGCUAACACCGUUAACCUUUGACACACCUACUCCCUGUAGAAGAGAUGAUGAGUUGCAGGUGCACUGUCUCUAGGGGAGGUGAGGCUGAAGGAACUGCCUGGCUUGAUCGCUAACCGAGCUCCCGUCAACCCCAUACAGGGAAUACUGGCCCUGCACAGAGGAUAGCAGUGGUACUACGGGAGGUACUGUAUAUAGACGUGAGGAAAGGUGGAUUGGGAGGAGUGGCCAUGCUGCUCGCUGGAUACUGCAUCCACAGCUACACCUGCAGCUACCCACACAUCAAGCAUGAUCGCUGGAGGAAGUACCACUGAGCCCUGGCGGUAAGGGUCAGACUAAGGGGAAACAUCUGUCACUCAGGGACGGAGCCCCUAGUGGUGGAGACCAGAUGUGCAGAGCUGUAGUCUCGUGUUACCUGGAAAUAAAGGCUAGAAGAUCUGAAGCUAUGGCGAGUUCUCUACAUAGAAUCAUAUUUCAGUUUCAUGUCUUCUAGUCUAUACCAGGCCUAUAUAUACAAAGGUAUGUGGACACCCAUUCAAAUUUGUGGAUUCGGCUAUUUCAGCCACACCCGUUGCUGACAGGUCUAUAAA